CAAGGCGAUACGGAUUGUCAAACAUGACAGAGGAAGAAAAAGGGAAAGGAAGUUUUAUUAUUCAGAGGAGAAUUUAGAUUAUAAAUUGGGAGGUGCAGAUAUCUAUGAGUCUUUGAAGGGGUAGGGAGAGCAAGAGGGACAGGUAGGUGCCCAAAAAGGGACCAGCCCAGGAUUAACCCUCUACCACUUAUGGGAAAUCCCGGAUAUUGGUAGUGACACCCGGCCAUAUAUCCAAGCCAAAGGAUACAAUAAUGGACAAAAAUAGUUCAGUGGACUCUGCCUUCAUUGCAGACCGUAUCCCUCAACACCUACCAGCACCCAGGGUGUUUGCAUUGUAUAUGCACCUUGAUGAUCCAGCUGUCCUUAUACCUUAUGAUAGUUGCCUCAGAAUUGUAUUCGAUUCCUUUCUCUGAAUUUCAGCUGCCAUAUUGAGGCCAAACUGUUUCAUCUUGUCUUUGAUUGGGCUACCUCACUAGGUCGUAUGCAGUACUUUGGAGCUUUGUCUUUGAGAUGAUCAAGUCCUAAAACCCCUGAAGAAGCCUAAGGGCGAAACUAGUAGGGUAGUCUUGUUCAAGAGAAAAAAUAAUUGUCUCCAUAAUUAGCUCCCACCAAUGAAUGUUACUAAUUUAUUUUAAACUUUGUAUAAAUUGAAUAAAAUUUUCUAUUUUUGAUAUAA